GACGAACGCUGGCGGCGUGCCUAAUACAUGCAAGUAGAACGCUGAAGGAGGAGCUUGCUUCUCUGGAUGAGUUGCGAACGGGUGAGUAACGCGUAGGUAACCUGCCUGGUAGCGGGGGAUAACUAUUGGAAACGAUAGCUAAUACCGCAUAAUAGUAGAUGUUGCAUGACAUUUGCUUAAAAGGUGCAAUUGCAUCACUACCAGAUGGACCUGCGUUGUAUUAGCUAGUUGGUGGGGUAAUGGCUCACCAAGGCGACGAUACAUAGCCGACCUGAGAGGGUGAUCGGCCACACUGGGACUGAGACACGGCCCAGACUCCUACGGGAGGCAGCAGUAGGGAAUCUUCGGCAAUGGACGGAAGUCUGACCGAGCAACGCCGCGUGAGUGAAGAAGGUUUUCGGAUCGUAAAGCUCUGUUGUAAGAGAAGAACGAGUGUGAGAGUGGAAAGUUCACACUGUGACGGUAUCUUACCAGAAAGGGACGGCUAACUACGUG
rnacentral:rRNA from 1 species